rnacentral:rRNA from 1 species
UACAGAGGGUGCGAGCGUUAAUCGGAAUUACUGGGCGUAAAGCGUGCGUAGACGGUUAUUUAAGUCGGGUGUGAAAGCCCCGGGCUCAACCUGGGAAUUGCAUUCGAGACUGAAUAGCUAGGGUACGGUAGAGGGAAGCGGAAUUUCCGGUGUAGCGGUGAAAUGCGUAGAUAUCAGGAGGAACACCUGCGGUGUAGACGGCUUACUGGACCAUAACUGACGCUGAGGCACGAAAGCGUGGGUAGCAAACAGG